AUUGAACGCUGGCGGCAGGCCUAACACAUGCAAGUCGAGCGGAUGAAGAGAGCUUGCUCUCUGAUUUAGCGGCGGACGGGUGAGUAAUGCCUAGGAAUCUGCCUGGUAGUGGGGGAUAAAGUUCCGAAAGGAACGCUAAUACCGCAUACGUCCUACGGGAGAAAGCAGGGGACAUUCGGGCCUUGCGCUAUCAGAUGAGCAUAGGUCGGAUUAGCUAGUUGGUGAGGUAAUGGCUCACCAAGGCUACGAUCCGUAACUGGUCUGAGAGGAUGAUCAGUCACACUGGAACUGAGACACGGUCCAGACUCCUACGGGAGGCAGCAGUGGGGAACAUUGGACAAUGGGCGAAAGCCUGAUCCAGCCAUGCCGCGUGUGUGAAGAAGGUCUUCGGAUUGUAAAGCACUUUAAGUUGAGAGGAAGGGCAGUAAGUUAAUACCUUGCUGUUUUGACGUUACCGACAGAAUAAGCACCGGCUAACUUCGUGCCAGCCGCCGCAGUAA
rnacentral:rRNA from 1 species